rnacentral:rRNA from 1 species
UGGGGAAUCUUAGACAAUGGGGGCAACCCUGAUCUAGCCAUGCCGCGUGAGUGAAGAAGGCCUUAGGGUCGUAAAGCUCUUUCGCCUGUGAAGAUAAUGACGGUAGCAGGUAAAGAAACCCCGGCUAACUCCGUGCCAGCAGCCGCGGUAAUACGGAGGGGGUUAGCGUUGUUCGGAAUUACUGGGCGUAAAGCGUACGUAGGCGGACCGUAAAGUUGGGGGUGAAAUCCCGGGGCUCAACCCCGGAACUGCCUCCAAAACUGCCGGUCUAGAGGUCGAGAGAGGUGAGUGGAAUUCCGAGUGUAGAGGUGAAAUUCGUAGAUAUUCGGAGGAACACCAGUGGCGAAGGC